GCGAGUCAUUGUAGUAAUACAAGGCAGACGGCUCAGUAACGCGUACUCUACCUAACCUAUGGACGGGAAUAACCUCGGGAAACUGACUAUAAUGCCCGAUAGAACAUUAUGCCUGGAAUGGUUUAUGUUCCAAAUGAUUUAUCGCCGUAGGAUGGGACUGCGGCCUAUCAGUUUGUUGGUGAGGUAAUGGCCCACCAAGACUAUUACAGGUACGGGCUCUGAGAGGAGUAGCCCGGAGAUGGGUACUGAGACACGGACCCAGGCCCUAUGGGGCGCAGCAGGCGAGAAAACUUUGCAAUGUGCGAAAGCACGACAAGGUUAAUCCGAGUGGUUUCUGCUAAAGGAACCUUUUGUCGGUCCUAGAAACACCGAUGAAUAAGGGGUGGGCAAGUUCUGGUGUCAGCCGCCGCGGUAAAACCAGCACCUCAAGUGGUCAGGAUGAUUAUUGGGCCUAAAGCAUCCGUAGCCGGCUUUGUUAGUUUUCGGUUAAAUCUGUACGCUCAACGUACAGG
rnacentral:rRNA from 1 species